GACGAACGCUGGCGGCGUGCUUAACACAUGCAAGUCGAACGGAAAGGCCCUGCUUUUGUGGGGUGCUCGAGUGGCGAACGGGUGAGUAACACGUGAGUAACCUGCCCUUGACUUUGGGAUAACUUCAGGAAACUGGGGCUAAUACCGGAUAGGAGCUCCUGCUGCAUGGAGGGGGUUGGAAAGUUUCGGCGGUUGGGGAUGGACUCGCGGCUUAUCAGCUUGUUGGUGGGGUAGUGGCUUACCAAGGCUUUGACGGGUAGCCGGCCUGGGAGGGUGACCGGCCACAUUGGGACUGCGGUACGGCCCAGACUCCUACGGGAGGCAGCAGUGGGGAAUAUUGCACAAUGGGCGGAAGCCUGAUGCAGCAGCGCCGCGUGCGGGAUGACGGCCUUCGGGUUGUAAACCGCUUUCGCCUGUGACGAAGCGUGAGUGACGGUAAUGGGUAAAGAAGCACCGGCUAACUACGUG
rnacentral:rRNA from 1 species